rnacentral:rRNA from 1 species
UACGGAGGGUGCAAGCGUUAAUCGGAAUUACUGGGCGUAAAGCGCACGCAGGUGGCUGAGUAAGUCGAUUGUGAAGCCCUGGGCUUAACCUGGGAAUUGCAGUCGAUACUGCUCGGCUAGAGUAUGGGAGAGGGUAGUGGAAUUCCCGGUGUAGCGGUGAAUGCGUAGAUAUCGGGAGGAACACCGGUGGCGAAGGCGGUUCUCUGGGCCUGACCUGGACGCUGAGGAGCGAAAGUGUGGGGAGCGAACAGG